rnacentral:tRNA from 1 species
GGUAUCGUAGUUGAAAAUAACAACAGUAAAUUGCAGCUUUAAAGGUAUGAAUAGUUUCAUUGAUACUU